GCUGGGAUAGCUCAGUCGGUAAAGCAUAAGACUCUUAAUCUCAGGGACAUGGGUUUGAGCCCCACACUGGGCA